rnacentral:misc_RNA from 1 species
GAUGAAGAACGUAGCGAAAUGCGAUACUUGGUGUGAAUUGCAGAAUCCCGUGAACCAUCGAGUCUUUGAACGCAAGUUGCGCCCGAAGCCAUUAGGCCGAGGGGACGCCUGCCUGGGCGUCACACGUCGUUGCCCCCCCAUCUACUCCUUCGGGAUUGCGGGGGGCGGAUGAUGGCCUCCCGUGCGCCUCGUCGCGCGGUUGGCAUAAAUGCCAAGUCCUCGGCGACACACGCCACGACAAUCGGUGGUUGCGAAACCUCGGUUGCCCGUCGUGUGCGGUCGUCGCGCAUCGAGGGCUCGAAAAAAUUGCCGGGCUCCGGCUCGGCUUUCAACGCGACCCCAGGUCAGGCGGGGUUACCCGCUGAAUUUAAGCAUAUCAAUAAGCGGAGGA